GAAGAAAUUUGGUUUUUAUGUUGCAUGGUUACACUGUACGCCAUCGCUUUUAAAGUUCCUACCCUAGGGCUCUACAAUUUCCUUAAAGAUAUGAAAAAUCAACAAAGCCUGAUAUGGCGGUUCUAUAAAUGGUUUGCCCCUACUUCAACAUGGCCUAGAAGAUUAAAGACAGCCAAUGAGAACCAUAAUCUCCACUGUAAGCCUUUACCAGAAGUCAUAGCAGCCUUCUGUCUGUUCAUCUUACACAGGCCUUCUUUAAGGAUUCAGAAGGAUUAUUAUGGACUCAAAACCAAUUCUAUGAAUAGAAGACCUAUUCCAAAACUGUCAAGACAGGACAAAGCCUUACACUGUGAAAAAAAAUUACUGCACAUCUCUGUGAAAUUAACAACUAUAAGCCCAAGGCCCAGAUAAUGACUUCCACUUCUAUCGGACCAAAAGCCCAACCAGAAAAAGUUGCAAAUUUUCUUCCUGAUUAUACUAAUCCAAUCUGGUAAGAUUCUCAGGACCCCACCACACGGCAGAAAAAGAAGAAACUAAUAAGAGUACAUCUGUUCCUGAAUAGAAAAACAAUCCAUGUCCCUAGUACAAGAGCCUGUAUGACAAAAAAUAUGAUUCUGAUGACUCAGACUAUUAUAAUUAUAAUCAAAGUACAAGUUCUAACUCCAUGUGAAUUGACAGCAGACUGUCCCCCUGAAGCUGGAGAAAAAUAUACAUCUACAUAAUUAAUUUUAGUCAGAUGAGUUAUUUGUCUUCAUGUAGGACUUUGUUAGGUAUGAGUCAUGUACCCACCUAACUAGUUCUUAUCUUGUUA
rnacentral:misc_RNA from 1 species